GUGCACCUCAGGUGAAGGUGGAGAGAUUUCUGAGAUGAGGGAGGCUGUGGCAAGGGGUGGGGGAGCAAUCAAGUACUAGCGUGCAGAAGUUCCGUGCGGGUUAAAGUUAGUUUUAAUGAAUUGCUCUGGCUCUGGGAAUGUCCUGUGUUUCCUGAAAAUGUGUCCCAGGGUUGCCCAGACCCCAUAGACACGUUUUCAGAUGACACACAGAGCAUUCCUGGUGAUUUGUCAGAGUGAGUCAUCAAAAUUUGCUCCCCCAUUGCUGUGUUAUCUGAGGCUGCAUGACCAGCACUCUCCCUUGCACUGGUGUGUCCCAGUGCAGCUAGAAAAGUUCUCCCUCACUUAGGUGCAUCUUCCUUUCAUGCUUCUGGAAUGCUGCUGGAUAUUAGCCAUCUUUAAUAGGACCUACUAAAAUAAAAUAAAAUCUUGAGCAACUAUCUUUCGAGUCCUGAAGUACUCUUCAUCUGUCUGGAUGAGAUAUGUGUCAAGCUGUUAGAUGUAGAGUCUUUCUGUCUGGAUGGAACACUGCAUCAUGGUCCCUGCUCUGUCAUGGACAAAGGCGAAUAGGAAGGAUCUCUGAUACGACUGCUACGGCUGUCGAAAAGAGACUGAGGGAAAGAGGCAGGAACCACAGUGAGUAAGCUAAAGGGGUGUGGGGUUACCGCUAAAAUGCUAGUUAAACUCUGGAAGGUUCCGAGAUAUGUUCUGCAUGUGCCUUCUUUAGUAUGAAUAACCGGCCACAAUGAAGAAAAGCCAUCCUACCCAUCUCCUCUUUCACACAUGAUCACUCCCGCUUCAAACAUUCACACAAUGAUUCACACAAACUCCCAUUUGUUCACACAUGAUUAGAAACUGGGAGUGUGCACUGCUCUUGAAGCUGGGUAGGACACUUGUCUUACCCAGUUUCCAAUUGUGUGAAUUGCCUUAAUAUGUCUUUAAACAAAGCAAUGAUCAAAAUUCAGCUCUUCUCACUCUCACUAUGUUGCUAUCAUUCUUAGGAGGACACACCUUGCUGAGAUAUGAUAUCAUGUACAACUUCCUGCUGAGGGGAAAUGGGAGGGGAUAGCAAGCAGGAGAAGGAUACUGGAUCUUGAGGGGGGAAUCUCUGGGACUGGUGUAUAGUGUGGAUGAGACUGAGUGGUUGCUAAACUGUUGCAGUGCAUGAGAAAGGGGCUUAAGAUCCAGUGAAGGCAGGGAUACAUUUAUUUAGAGUUUGGUGAGGAAAAACCGUAAGACAAGGAAGAUCUGUGGAGAAGUAGAAGUUCAACAGGAUCACAGAUGUUACUGAUGGGGAAAUUUCAGAUAAGGAUGUGCACAACUGUGGUUUGAGCACCGCUUCAGUGCUGAACCAGUUCAGCGCCACAGGGAGGAGAACAGCAAGC